UGGGGAAUAUUGGACAAUGGGCGCAAGCCUGAUCCAGCAAUGCCGCGUGUGUGAAGAAGGCCUUAGGGUUGUAAAGCACUUUCAGCAGAGAAGAAAAGCACAGGGUCAAUACCCCUGUGUCUUGACGUAACCUGCAGAAGAAGCACCGGCUAACUCCGUGCCAGCAGCCGCGGUAAUACGGAGGGUGCAAGCGUUAAUCGGAAUUACUGGGCGUAAAGCGCGCGUAGGCGGUUUGGCAAGUCGGAUGUGA
rnacentral:rRNA from 1 species